rnacentral:piRNA from 1 species
UCCAUAGAUAGAUGGGAGACGUGGCCAU